rnacentral:rRNA from 1 species
CCUACGGGGGGCAGCAGUGAGGAAUAUUGGUCAAUGGACGAGAGUCUGAACCAGCCAAGUAGCGUGAAGGAUGACUGCCCUAUGGGUUGUAAACUUCUUUUAUAAAGGAAUAAAACGAGGCACGUGUGCCUUUUUGCAUGUACUUUAUGAAUAAGGAUCGGCUAACUCCGUGCCAGCAGCCGCGGUAAUACGGAGGAUCCGAGCGUUAUCCGGAUUUAUUGGGUUUAAAGGGAGCGUAGAUGGGUUGUUAAGUCAGUUGUGAAAGUUUGCGGCUCAACCGUAAAAUUGCAAUUGAUACUGGCAGUCGUGAGUACAGUUGAGGUAGGCGGAAUUCGUGGUGUAGCGGUGAAAUGCUUAGAUAGCACGAAGAACCCCGAUUGCGAAGGCAGCUUACUAAACUGUGACUGACAUUGAUGCUCGAAAGUGUGGGUAUCAAACAGGAUUAGAUACCCCUGUAGUC